AUUAACAUGGAGUUGAGGUUUUUCUUUCUUGGAUAUUGAAGGAGGCAUGCCUGACAUUAAGCAACAUCUCACUUCGCACCCAUCCCAGACUUAAAAGCUUCUGUGGGGGGAGCACCCAAAUGUCUAACCUCUGCAACAAGCAGGAGAAGAAAAUGGCCAGGGUCACAACCAGCUGAAAACCAGAAGAUGACUGGCAAGUAGCGGAAAUAGAUGAUCUCAUGAUGACCCAUGCUUUACACCUUCUUCAGGAGGCUUGGGAAUGACAGUGCACCUGUAAGCAAUAUUGUGAUGUUGGUUUGAAAAUCAGCCCUAGAAGUUACUCUGGUCAAGCUAUCAUUGAAAAGAAGCCCUGCUCCAAAGAUUUAUACAACAUCCCAAGUGAAAAUUACUUCAGUUGUUGUAUCCCACAUUCAAGGUACUUUUGAAUAUAUUUAGAUUUUAAGUUUUUGAGCUCACUGCAACUUUGAAAGUGGAAGAGAGCACAGAUGUUACUUCUAUCUUCAUCAUUUUGCAGCAAAUGUCUUGAUCUAAAACAUCUUGUAUGAAUUCCCUGGGAUUUUAUUAUUUUUCCUUGGAAUUCAGUGAAAUGCAGGAAGUUUAAGAGGUUGCAGAGUCCAAGGCAGAUAACUAUAUAAUGAAACAAAACAUUGUCAUAUAAGGACACAAAGGUGGAACAAUUUCUCACUGAAUGCUCGCCUCAUUGGCAUUUUCUUCUCUUGGGCGAAAACAAAAGAAAAACAAUUGCUUAUCUAUCAAAUUAAAACAGACUGUAAGUCAUUUUUUCACAUAGUUGAUUAUUCAAUUAUUAUAGCUAUUUCUACAUCAUCACCUGUCAAUAUGAGGCUUUGAAAAAUAAGAGAUUUAUAAUCCAAAUGUGGCAGCAUAAUACGAUAGGAAAAUAAUUGUUUCAGUCAUAAAUUCUUUGGUUUAGCUAUUAUUUGGUGAUAUGAACAUUUUCCUUAUUCUAGUGUAUUUGGAACAGCAAUUCACAUUCAUUUCUCUGAUGGAUGGUAUUUCAGAUAUUUACAAAAUGAAUUAUCCUACUGAAUGUAGUAGUAAUAAAGUAAUGGAUUAGAAAAGUAUGUUUACGCCAGCUGUAUAAUUAUACAAGGGAUCUUCUCUACAAUGAAAUCCUCUAUAAAUCCACUUAGAAAUAAGUGUCAUUGAGAUCAGCAAGAGAUUUAAUCCUAGCUAAAUAAUUAUUAAACCACUAUAUUCAUCUGA